CGUGAGUUCCAAAUAUUUCUAACGGUCGCCCCAGCGUGAGUUUUUUUAUGCACGUGAUGUUAGAACGUUCUCUCCAUUCCAGAAUGUGAUUGUUAUGUAACAGUACAUUUAACCUGCGCUGCCCUCAAACCAAAGCACGCAGCCUGUUUUAUUUGUCAAUUUAAAAUUAUUUUCUAACAAGUUUUUUAUUUUCUAAUAACAGUUUGAAAUGAUGUGUGUUUCGCCUUAUUCAUUCACAUAAAAGUAGUCAUUUUUACUUUUGCGGACCAAUUAAUUUUUUGGACAUUUCUGACCCGGACAAAAUUCCCCAAACACUUCUCAAUUGUUUGUGCAGGACAUUUACUCAUCUGCCGUCCUGUAUACACGUGUUCAUAUUUUCCACCUGUCGCCUGCAUCGAAAUCAAAGUUGUUUUCGUUACCAAUAAUACCUUUGGUAAUGUGUGCGUUUCUAUCAAAGUGCCUUAAUACGUUAUAAUAGUUUCUGCAUGUCGUGUUAUGUCGUUUCUACUGUAACGUCAUGUUUUUAUGUACAUUCCUUAUAACCGCGGACAGGCGAUGUAACGUUACUCAUUUCAUAACAUUUAUGGUGUUAUACUCAAUGCUUAGGUAUCUAGCUACAUUCUCCUAUUAGCUCUGGAAAACAAUGCUAAUUUCGUCAGGGAAGUAUUAGCAUGUGUUGUAUUUCGAAGCUACCCUGGCCUUAUGACUCCCAAGUGGCACAGCGUCUCAGCGCUAGAAGCGUCACUACAGAGACCCAUCUUCAAAUCAAGACUGCGUUUCUAUCAAAGUGGUCCACCUUCCCUGUGGCCAACAUGGUUGCUGUAUGGACAGUGGAGAGGACUUGGACGUCUCGUUUGUCAUGCCACUUUACUGCCAGCUGUUAACAUUUCUUAUUUUGUAUAACGGGUCAUUUAGGAUGGUAGUAGCGUUGAUGAAAUGCAGUCAUAGCAGCAGAACUAGAAAGCAGUCUUUACUGUCACCAGGAAUGUGUACAUUUCACAAAUUGUGGUUGUCCCCCACUCCUGGCUCUCUCUUCUCCUGUAGCUCCAAGGCAUAGUGAUUGGUCUCUACUAUGUCUCCCACCAGCUCCUCUGUCAGAAACAACUUGAAGCACUCUGCCUCAGUUGGAAAUGGCAAGGGGCGUUGCACUCCAGACUGGGACUCAUCAACACAAUCAGCAGGGCCAGGAGGGAUGAAAUGGCUGGCAGCCUUCCAGCUACCACAGAACUGUACUUCAUCCACUGUCAGUCUGCCACCAUCACCACCAGCAUCUUCAAAGGGACCUGGGACUUCGUCAGUGGACAAGGGAAAUUCAGAUUCAGGGUUCUCAGUGGCUACAAGGUUGGGGGGCAGCUCCUCACUCAGUCAGAAUCUGAUUCCUGACUUUCAUACUCUGACUCAUUGUCAGAAUUUUUAAAAAAUCUCCAUAAUUUCCACAUUUGUUUGUUGUCUCCUUUUGAAAGAUUGCUAAUGCUUCAGCUUAGCUCACUAGCUACAUACAUAAACAACAACACUGAAUGGUUUACAGUGAGAGGGUACGUGGUUGACUGCCGGCACGCGCCACUUGUAUCAAUAAAUCACUAUCAGAAAA